CCUACGGGAGGCAGCAGUGAGGAAUAUUGGUCAAUGGACGAGAGUCUGAACCAGCCAUGUAGCGUGAAGGAUGACUGCCCUAUGGGUUGUAAACUUCUUUUAUAUGGGAAUAAAAUGUUCCACGUGUGGGUUUUUGUAUGUACCAUAUGAAUAAGGAUCGGCUAACUCCGUGCCAGCAGCCGCGGUAAUACGGAGGAUCCGAGCGUUAUCCGGAUUUAUUGGGUUUAAAGGGAGCGUAGGUGGAUUGUUAAGUCAGUUGUGAAAGUUUGCGGCUCAACCGUAAAAUUGCAGUUGAAACUGGCAGUCUUGAGUACAGUAGAGGUGGGCGGAAUGCGUGGUGUAGCGGUGAAAUGCUUAGAUAUCACGAAGAACUCCGAUUGCGAAGGCAGCUCACUGGACUGCAACUGACACUGAGGCUCGAAAGUGUGGGUAUCAAACAGGAUUAGAUACCCCUGUAGUC
rnacentral:rRNA from 1 species